CGUGGGGAACCUGCCCCAUAGUCUGGGAUACCACUUGGAAACAGGUGCUAAUACCGGAUAAGAAAGCAGAUCGCAUGAUCAGCUUUAAAAGGCGGCGUAAGCUGUCGCUAUGGGAUGGCCCCGCGGUGCAUUAGCUAGUUGGUAAGGUAAAGGCUUACCAAGGCGAUGAUGCAUAGCCGAGUUGAGAGACUGAUCGGCCACAUUGGGACUGAGACACGGCCAAAACUCCUACGGGAGGCAGCAGUC
rnacentral:rRNA from 1 species